GGGAUCUGAUAAAGAGCAAACACUGGAGGCAUUACAUGUCUUUAGAAGAAUCAGACUUCCUACCUUAGCAAGAGUGAUAGAAGGUAAGUCCCCCUUUAAAGAAAGUUGUAAGUAAAGCCAGGCAGCAGUUGCAGUGAAUUGAGUCCUUUCAGUCACUGUGUACAUGCAGUAGUUCUGCAAUAAGGGAAAAAUAUAAUGGGAGGAGCAGCUGUGAACGAGUGACCUCCUGAAGCUGAGUUCUCUUUGUGAAUCGAGCACUGGGAGCCAGUGCCUCUGAUUUGCAUGGAUUAUCUCCACUUGAACAGAUACAUUUAAAUCGACCGGCAGAGGGGCGCGGGGAUGAAAUAAAAUGAAAUAAAAGGAAGGGCGAGCGGAGGAGGAGGGCAGGAGCGAGCGGCGAGCGCGGAGCGGAGCGGAGCGGAGCGGAGGCAGCGCGCAGGGCGAGCGGCGCCCGGCGGGGCGCGCUGAGCGGCGGCGCCGCGGCUCGAAGAGCCACAGCUCCCUCUUCAUGCGGCAGCCGGGGCCAGCAAAGCCGCCUUUAUGGGCCAGCUCCGCACCGAGCCCCCCGCCCCCGCUCCCCC
rnacentral:lncRNA from 12 species